AUACGUAGGGGGCGAGCGUUGUCCGGAAUGAUUGGGCGUAAAGGGCGCGUAGGCGGCCCGGUAAGUCUGGAGUGAAAGUCCUGUUUUUAAGAUGGGAAUUGCUUUGGAUACUGUCGGGCUUGAGUGCAGGAGAGGUAAGUGGAAUUCCCAGUGUAGCGGUGAAAUGCGUAGAGAUUGGGAGGAACACCAGUGGCGAAGGCGACUUACUGGACUGUAACUGACGCUGAGGCGCGAAAGCGUGGGGAGCGAACAGGAUUAGAUACCCGGGUAGGCCACGCGGUAAACGAUGAAUGCUAGGUGUUGCGGGUAUCGACCCCUGCAGUGCCGGAGUAAACACAAUAAGCAUUCCGCCUGGGGAGUACGGCCGCAAGGUUGAAACUCAAAGGGAUUGACGGGG
rnacentral:rRNA from 1 species